GAUUUCUGGCCUGAAACAUUUUGCCGGCCACGGUUUCGUGUGUUAGUGCUUUGUUCUGUGUCCAUCCUUCCAAUUGCUAUUGGCUAUUCUUCAUUGAUUGGUCAGUAGUAUUGGAUCUUUUACUUUGAAAAAAUUAGAGUGUUUCAAGCAGGCUUUAUGCUAUGAAUACAUUAGCAUGGAAUAAUAAUUUAGGACUUCUGUUCUAUUUUGUUGGUUUCUAGGACUGAAGUAAUGAUUGAUAGGGAUAGUUGGGGGUGCUAGUAUUCAGCGGCCAGAGGUGAAAUUCUCGGAUUCGCUGAAGACUAACUUAUGCGAAAGCAUU
rnacentral:rRNA from 1 species